AUGCUUCACGUUUCGCGGAUUAAAUGUCAGUGUAAUCUGAAACCCUCUGAUAGCCAGCAUUUUGAAGGUUUGCAGCAGUUCCCAACCCCUUUCAUUCUGUGGAUUAUUCUUGAGACAGACAGAGCGAGCCCCUUUCACAGACCUACCUCCCCUCCCGAUACAUUCAGUCCCCUCCCCCAGUCUCACAAAACAUGUUCUCCAAAUCUUGCAUCCUGCAGACCACAAGGAAGGGCCCAGCGAUCCAGAGAUCUGCUGUGAUCUAUCGCUGAGAGAAAUUUGAGUGGGCCAGUAAUUACUGUCAAAUGGAGAAAGGCAGCUGCUAUUCAAAAGUCAGCAUUUGUCAACAGUUACCGCACAGAUUACUGUGGCUCUUCCUCACAGUUAGCAGGGUCACGGAUGUUCUUGGAGCACUAACCCGACUGUAAUUUACCACUCGGCUCCCUUGCCAGAGCACUGCUGGUGCCUGAAGCACACUGAGUCUCCUUCCACAUCACACAGCCAUAGCUAGUCCUCACUGUAUUUCUGCACCCUCUGUCCCAGUCAGUUUGCUCCCUGUGAGCUCCAGUAACAACCUUUUCUACACCACAGCCUCUCUUCUUCCCUGCACCCCUGUAAUUGAUUCCUCAGCGCUCGCCUCUUCUACAAUGUACCUGCUGUAUACAGUCCACGUAACACGUUCAGGAUUCCCACUUUUUUUCAAUCUGUCUCUUGGCAGUUCCUGUGUUGAUGAGUGCUGGCUAACCAAUGUCAGUCCAGUAGCUGCUAUGCAGGUCCUGGGAGGACAAGCAGCCCUAGAGACAGCACAAUCCAUCCCACAUAGGUCCUUGUAGUUCAAGGCAAAUACCACAUGUAGAAUUGGAGUUGGUCAUGCACAAGACCCUCUGUAGGCCACAGACCACUGAUGUGAUAUGCUCACUUUGGCUUAUCCUACUUAGGUCACAGACUAUUAUUCAUCAGCUGUCUCGACCCAGUUGAAGUGAAUGACAACUGGCCACUUAGAGGUGAAAAAUGUAUGGAAUGCUGUAACUCAAUCAUUUUCGAAGCAGAAUGGAUGAAGAUUUCUCUUACUAAAAAGGGACGAGGAAAGUGCUCUUGGCACUUCCUUUCAUUUAGAUAUCUAGCAUCAAGAAGUCCAGCAUGAGCUUGUGGCAAACAAUAUUUAAUAAAUAGGGUACAAAAGCCUUCAGUGCUGGAGAUUGCCAAUUCUUCCAAUUAAUGCACUUUCAAUCUUUCCUGGGUUCAGUUUGCGCAAGUUGCUUAUAUUCGAGUUAGGAUAGCCUGUUUGCACAGAGGUCAUUUGGGAGACUGUGCUCCAUGUGUAGCAUUAUGACGCAGGUCAUCCUAUAGGUUUUACUGAGAAAGAUGUUAAAGGGGACCAGAGACUGGACUGAGCCCCAGGGGAAGGAAGAACAAUAGCUCACUAUGAUCCUCUGGAACCUAGUGAUUUCUGCUUCUUGCUGGUUUUAUGUCUUCCCCUCCAUUAAAGACUAUACUUUUCUCACUUU